UACGUAGGGUGCAAGCGUUGUCCGGAAUUAUUGGGCGUAAAGAGCUCGUAGGCGGUUCGUCGCGUCGGCUGUGAAAUCCCGAGGCUCAACCUCGGGUCUGCAGUCGAUACGGGCGGACUGGAGUACUGCAGGGGAGACUGGAAUUCCUGGUGUAGCGGUGAAAUGCGCAGAUAUCAGGAAGAACACCAAUGGCGAAGGCAGCUCGCUAGGACGGUACUGACGCUGAGGCGCGAAAGCGUGGGGAGCAAACAGG
rnacentral:rRNA from 1 species